rnacentral:lncRNA from 1 species
UUCUGCAGUAAGUAACAAUGGCUAUUGUGUGUGGCUAUUGCAUUUAUUUUGAGUGAACACAACCCAAGUGCAUACUUGGAAGCUGGUAGAAAGCAAUAGACGGAGCAUGGGCUUCCAGACCUGCUUGGAUGAUGCCAGUUUCAUUUGACCUUGGACAAGGACUCAUUCGUUUUAAUCCCAACAAUUCUUUCCUUUUCUCUCCCUUCUCUACCUCCAUCUUCCCCUUAACUUCCUCCUCCCUAUUUCCCACUCCAUUCCCCAUGCUCCCCAUACAUAAUUCUUUUCUUCCUACCCCUUUCUUUGUCAAAAAUUGCAUUCAUUCGUUCAUCAUUCAUUAGUUCAUUUACCAAUUAAUUUAUUUGUGCUAUGAUGUACUUGUGGAAGUCAAAAGACACUUUCAGGACUCAGGUCUAUCCUUCCCCCGUGGGGUUCCUGAGGAUAGAACUUGGGUCAUCAGGCUUGGCAGCAAGCACCUUUGUCCACUGAGUCAUCUGUUCAGCACCCCCCUCUCUUUUUGUUGUUGUUAUUUUUACUUUAUUCUUUUCUUCCUCCUUUUCCAUUUCCCUUCUUUAUUAUGUAUAAGUAAGUUGUACCAAGCACGAAAACAUUAUAUAUAAAAUGAUCCUUUGGGCACUUGGCCCAUGAAAUAUAAAUGAAGCCACAAUAGCUGUUAUUUUUAUGAGACGUGUAAAUGCUUCUGUGUUGGAGGUGAAUCAAAUAGAAUAGCUAUGGGGGGUUGUGGUUACCACUCUCUAAACACCAGCUUUGUGGUUCGCUUUGCCACAGAUCUACAGUAUCAUUUCUUCCCAAGUAGGAAAAAUGGACGCAAGUUUCUUUUCCUUACAUCAGUGAGUCUGGUGAAGAAUAGAAGUGACCUAUUUGAGUUUAAUUCCAGGAUUUCCAUAGAGGUAAUCACACAUCUAUCUAUGAUGGAGGGCAUGCUUUAAGGUGGCUGCCUCUAAGACAAGGUCAUUUUGGCUCUAGUUGUGUGGCUGGUAUGCUCUGUGCUGACUUUCAGGACUCUGCAGAUGUUCGUCACAGUGUACGUGCUGAGAAAAUACCCAGCCAAUCCCCUGCAGCUGGGAAGAGCAAUUAGCAGCUCCCUGAAUUAGGGUCUUGUUUACGAUGUUGCCCAAGAUAAUCAUCUGUUUGUUUUAACUAAGAUGCUCUGUCCUCAUCAGCCGCAUCAGUCCUCAUAUUUUAAUGAUAAGGCCUUUGAAUCUUACAAUAGUGUUUGGAUUUCAUGGCGGGAUCCCCGGCAUAGUUCUCAUUUUCUCUUGAUGACUCUGGGAAUCAGCACACAAUGUGCCUAUAUAUCUUCCAUCACUUCUUCAACUCAAACAGAAAGGGAAAUGCCUGAGAUCUGCAGCGUAAACUUUUACUGGAUACAUCCGUUUUAAGGAAUAUCUUAUUUCAUUUGGAAUUCCAGCAUGCACACACACACACACACACACAAAUCAAAACCUUAUGACUGUAGUCUUAGCACAAAUAACAUACUCUAACACACUCUGUAGUCAGGCUCACUCUAUAGCCAUCUGAGGUUUCUAUUUAUUUCAUUUAAAAAAUAUCCCACUGGGGAUGCAGCUCGGUCUGUACAGGACAUGUAGGAAGCUCUGGGAUCUAUCCCCCGAACUCUGUAACCAUGGUGUGCCAAUACCAGGACUUGGGAGGCAGAGGUAGGAGGGAGGAUCAGAUAUUCAAGAUCAGCCUCAGAUUUAAGGCUAUGUGGGGUAUGUAAAACUCUCUUUUAAAAAAAAGUGAUGGAUAAAGAAAAGAUGGGGGUAAAUUAAAAAGUAAUUAGGUAGCAGUCAAUCUUCAUGACUUGUUAACAGGCCACUGAAACACAGUGACCUACACAGGGACUUACUCCAUGGUCCCCUCUUUUCUCAGAGUUUGCACAACAGGGCUCAUCUAGGCUGCAGGUGGGAUUGAUUGUUUUCUCAGUGAGUACACACCUACCUGUCUCUGAAGGUGAAAGUCAUUCAUAGUCACAACAAGUAUUUAUUGAUGAGACUUAUAACUUACUUGGGGGAAACUUGGGUAUAAGCCAGUAGCUGACAGAUGCCCACUCAUGCCUGCAAAGGAUUUCUUGUAUGAGUUAGUCCACAUAUACCUAACAGAUAUUUCCGGUUUCAGGUUCUCCAUUCGCCAGUCACAGCACACAAGCUCGGUUCAAUUUUUCUUUAAAAUCCAUCUUGGACUAUGACAGUAAAUAGUUAAAUACAAAUAGCCAAUAUGUAAACAAAUACAAACCCUUAAUGUUUAGAAACAUUAAUUUCCUGUGAGAGUCACACUCUUUUCACUCUGGCACUCAGAGGUCAGAAAGCAUGUCUACUGACAUUGGGAAGCCUGUGACCUGCCUGACCUAGGGACCCUGCCUUUCCCUGAGGUGAAGUGGAGCUGUGUAGCCUGGUAGGAGCAUUAGCCUGAACCCAGCAUAUGACAGAGGAUGUCUCCUGACUCACUCUGUGGGUUAGCACGGGUUCAGAGCAGGUCGUCUGUCACAGUGAGAAAGAUUUGUUAAGAGAUUCGAGAAACGGGAGACUGGAGUUGGAUAGGAUACAGUUCUACCUGGUGCAGGGGCUCAGUGCCUUCCCCCAUAGCCUUGUACCCUCCAGGAGCAGCUCAGGCAGGACACUCUUAGGGUCACAGAGAUGCCUGCGUAAGACUCACUCACUUAAGGUAAUAAAACAAGAUUGUUUUAUGACAGGUGUGUCUUGCUCCAUCUACUGGCACAGGCAAGCAUGAGACUCAUUGCCAGGGACAGAGCAGUGUCCUGCUAGGACAGACCUCCUCAGCGUCAUUCUCCUGGACUCAGACUCGGGAACUUCCUUCCUAAACACAGCCUUUUCAGAGAUAUUUUCAAAGGAGCCCAUGAGACAUCACUCUUAAGUGAAUCCCAAAGAUUCUGUGAAACCUUUGGACUGAAAUAGUGGUUCUCAUUUUCUCCAGGGGUCACGGGAGACUAGUCGAUUCACACCUCUGUCAAAGGAGCAUGGUGACAUGGGUAACAGGUGGCAGGUCACCAGAGGACUUCCUGCUCUUGGCUUUACCUUGCUGGUGGCGUAGCCUUUCAGGAAGCCAGCCACCUGAGCUCUGACUACUUCUCUCCCACAGACCUUAAGUUUGUGCCCUAGAUUUGACCUUUUUCUCUUUUAAGCCACCUCAGAUAUUGAAUGCAGCCUGUACUCUCACCUCAGGAUGGCUGCACCAUCUCCAUGUCAAGACCUAGGGCAGGAGAUCCAUGCUUGGACUCUGGUGUCAGAGGCAGAAGGGUGGCAGCCACAGUGGGUGAUAACAAGUUACAGCGUUCUCAGAUUCUAAUUCCUGGUGGGAUUCCAAAAGAGAAUGUCUAACCCCUGACUAAGGAUGCUGAAUAACAGUUACUAUUCAUAAUAUUGGAUGUAAGAGGGAUAUUGUAUUUGUUAUUUAUUUGUUUCUUUAUUUAUUUGAAUCAUGGGUUAGUCUGUUUUUCUUGAAUGCUAGGAACUAUGUGAUAAGGAUUUAUUUAGAAUUAUUUCUAAAUUGAAAAACAAAUAGAAAUUGAAAAACAAAUUACUUAGCAAACUUGUGCAAUUAUUUGAAGCUGAUUGCAAUUAAAAAAAGGCACGGUUUUAUUUUACGUGUGUAAGUAUUUUGCAUACAUGUAUGGAUUCGCUAUGUGUGUGCCUGACACAUGGAGAGGCCAAUAGAGGACAUUAGAUUCUCAGAACUGGGGUUAUAGUGUCAUGAGCUGCCUUGUGGGUGUUAAGAAUUAAACCCAGUGAUUAGCCACUAAGCCAACUCCCCUGCUCCCCAGUGCACAUUUCUCAAAGCAAGUGUGCCUCUUACAACUGUAGAACACUCACUAGGAGCUGAUUUCACAAUCCCUUUUCAUUGCUCCACACUUUAUUGGGGUCUAUUUGCAUAUGUGCCGAUGUAUACAUGCACCGCCUAGACAGUGAAAGCCAGGCUCUCCUCAAUUCAGCUGAAAUACAGAUACAAACCUUCCCAGCCUUGUAAAACAGCAAAUACUGCCUCCAGCUUGACACUUUUCUGUAAGUUCUUUGCCGUGUUCAGGAUGAUCUUCACUGAACUGUACUGAUGAGCAAGAGGACCUUUGGUGCUAAAAUUUCAUUGUUCCUAGGGAUAGCCAAAAAGAGAAGGGGAGUAGUAAAUGUGGAAAC